UUUAUUUUUUCUGAAGAUUUUUGACUAAUGUGUGUGUGUGUGUGUGGGGGUCUUUGUGUGGAUAAAUUAUGUUCAUACUUUAAAGGUGGACAUUUGCAACAGCGCUUGUCCCUAAAAUUGCUCCAGGGGUAUGGUCAGAGACUGUCCUAAAUGACAAAUGAUGGAAUGUAAAUGACAUUAAAUUCUGUGGACGUCUUACAUAAAUGUGCAUUGUACUUUAGUUAAUGUUAACUUGUCAACAGUGAAUUAUUUUAGGAUGUCAUUGGACUGAAUGUUUAGUGACUAAUGGCACUUCAUUCCAGUAAAAAUAUAAUCCAUAGCCUUGGAGUGAAAGCAGCUGCAAAGUGUUCCAAUGCUGAUAAAAAUCAAGCAGGUUAAAACCUCAGGUUCCUUAAAUAUCUGUUCUAUAGGAUAGUUAGGGGUUUUGAAUGGUUUUGAAGUCUGGUGCUCACCAGGCCUUCAUUUAUUUGUUCAGAAAUGCAGUAGAAACAGUCAUAUUGUAAAUUGUAAUAAUAUUUUACAAUAACUCUUUUCUAUUUGAGGCAGCAGCGGAUCUACCCCAAUCAUCAUAAACGGGACCCCAGUGGAGAGAGUGAGCAGCUUCAAAUACCUUCAGAUCCCCUGUAAAGAGUAGCUGAGCACAUCUCCAGAACAUCUCUCCUUUCUCUACAAGACAUCCACACCAGAAGAUGUAAAUCUAGGGCUGUUAAGAUCCUUAAAGACCGGUGAGUCAGGCAGACACUUCUGCAGUCUGAUGGCAAAGACGGAGAGGCUCAGGAGGAGUUUCUUCCCUCAUGUUAUCAGACUACUAAACAUGGACAUUAAACACACUGAACUUUAUAGACUGGUUGUUUAGGGCUACCCAAUAACUCUCUGCACACUGCGCUUUUUUGACAGAACCUACCUAUGCAAUUCAUCCUCACUGCACAUUGUUUACAUCUCUGCACAUCAUCUUUGUAGCAGUUUCUGUGUAGCAUCUCUACAAAUCAUCUGUGUAGUUGUUUAAUAUAUUGUGUAUAUUUCAUUAUUUGUAUUUAAUUAUCUCCAAAAAUAAUAAUUUUUAUUUUUUUUCCUGUUGUUUCAUUAUUUGUAUUUAAUUUUCUCUUAUUUUUUUGUACAGUCUAAAAAGAGUAUGCCAGACCUACAUUUCACUGCUUUUUGCAUGUCAUAUAACAAAUAAAACUUGAAUUUUUAA